GUAAGUAUAGUUUAAUGGUUUAAAUAGCAGUUUGUGGUAUUGCAGUUUGAAGGUUCAAGUCCUUCUAUUUACCCA
rnacentral:tRNA from 1 species